UCUCCCUCCUUAGGCCUCGCCCUGUCCUAGACGCUAGGUAUUUUCUAAGAUGCUGCUGGCAUCCUGGACUGUGUGCCUAGACGAGAACGACCCCCAAGGCAUCCAAACAAGAUGUGUCCUUUCACAUCUGACGCCCCAUCAGGCCGGUAUGGAAGCUGAGGCCGCUUUUGAACUAACACCCAUCCAGAGCAAACCCCAGUGCGGGAGAACCGGGCGGCAGUUGUCCAGGAGAGCAAAAGAGCACAUGGUGUUGGGCUUUUGCCAGUGUUAUUAAGCGGCACUGUUACCGUGUGGGAAAAGGUGGACCCUGAAAAACACAGACAUGGGUCCAACGUCUUGGGAAAGAACACUCAGGAGCACGUGGUUGCUCCUGAGAAUGCUGAAAUACUGCAAGUCCGGGCAGACACUUCCACAGAUGUUCCACAAAGUGAA